AGACAGAGGGUGCGAACGUUGUUCGGAAUUACUGGGCGUAAAGCGCGUGUAGGCGGCUAUGCAAGUCGGGUGUGAAAGCCCUGGGCUUAACCGAGGAAGUGCACUCGAAACUGCAUAGCUCGAGUCCCGGAGAGGAUGGUGGAAUUCUCGGUGCAGAGGUGAAAUUCGUAGAUAUCGAGAGGAACACCGGUGGCGAAGGCGGCCAUCUGGACGGGUACUGACGCUGAGACGCGAAAGCGUGGGUAGCAAACAGGAUUAGAAACCCUGGUAGUCC
rnacentral:rRNA from 1 species